UCUAUUAUCCCGGCCUGUGAUCCUACCAAACAAAGUCAUCUGUCCCAUCACGACGAAGUCUCUAUCUUUCUCCAGCCAGAGAUUGCAAUCGCAGACGAGGAGUGAAACUUUCCUGAAGAAGAAAGGACCAUUAGAUGACAUUGAGGACUGGCAAAACCUUGUCGGACCCUCAGGUGAUCCGCUUUGAUUGAAUAUUUGAUUGAUCAUCCAGGUCUUGGUAUGAAGAAAGCUAAGUAUAGGACUUGUCUGUAGGCAGAAUAGAGUAGGCCGUUAGGCCAUACGGCAAGCAGUAAGUCAAGUUUUCUAAUUAUUGGACAGAAGGGUCCUUGGCAGGAAGACGAGCAAGCCAGUACAGAUACCCCC
rnacentral:lncRNA from 1 species